rnacentral:rRNA from 1 species
UACAGAGGUCCCAAGCGUUGUUCGGAUUCAUUGGGCGUAAAGGGUGCGUAGGCGGCGCGGUAAGUCGGGUGUGAAAUCUUGGGGCUUAACUCCGAAACUGCAUUCGAUACUGCCGUGCUUGAGGACUGGAGAGGAGACUGGAAUUCCUGGUGUAGCGGUGAAAUGCGCAGAUAUCAGGAGGAACACCGAUGGCGAAGGCAGGUCUCUGGGCCACUACUGACGCUGAGAAGCGAAAGCGUGGGGAGCGAACAGG